rnacentral:rRNA from 1 species
UACGGAGGAUGCAAGCGUUAUCCGGAUUUAUUGGGUUUAAAGGGUCCGUAGGCGGGCGUAUAAGUCAGGGGUGAAAUCCGACAGCUUAACUGUCGAACUGCCUUUGAAACUGUAUGUCUUGAGUGAGAUUGAAGCAGCUGGAAUGUGUAGUGUAGCGGUGAAAUGCAUAGAUAUUACACAGAACACCGAUAGCGUAGGCAGGUUGCUAAGUCUUUACUGACGCUGAUGGACGAAAGCGUGGGGAGCAAACAGG